AACGAACGCUGGCGGCAGGCCUAAUACAUGCAAGUCGAACGGAUGUAGCAAUACAUUAGUGGCGCACGGGUGCCUAACGCGUGGGAACGUACCCUUGAGUAAGGAAUAAUGUCUGGAAACGGACACUAAUACCUUAUAAUGACUUCGGUCCAAAGAUUUAUCGCUCAAGGAUUGGCCCGCGUCUGAUUAGCUAGUUGGUGAGGUAACGGCUCACCAAGGCGACGAUCAGUAGCUGGUCUGAGAGGAUGAUCAGCCACACUGGGACUGAGACACGGCCCAGACUCCUACGGGGGGCAGCAGUAAGGAAUAGUGGACAAUGGAGGAAGCUCUGUUCCAGCCAUGCCGCGUGAGUGAAGAAGGCCUUAGGGUUGUAAAGCUCAUUCAAUGGUGAAGAUAAUGACGGUAGCCAUAGAAGAAGCCCCGGCUAAAUUCGUGCCAGCCGCCGCAGUAA
rnacentral:rRNA from 1 species